rnacentral:rRNA from 1 species
GACGUAGGGCGCGAGCGUUGUCCGGAUUUAUUGGGCGUAAAGAGCUCGUAGGCGGCUUGUCGCGUCGACUGUGAAAUCCCGCGGCUCAACUGCGGGUCUGCAGUCGAUACGGGCAGGCUAGAGUUCGGUAGGGGAGACUGGAAUUCCUGGUGUAGCGGUGAAAUGCGUAGAUAUCCGGAGGAACACCGGUGGCGAAGGCGGCUUCCUGGACCGACACUGACGCUGAGGCGCGAAAGCUAGGGGAGCAAACGGG